GAAACAUUUUUUCAAGCCUUGACAGAUUGCCAUGUGUUGAGGAGUUUGACCAUUAAUGAUGCCACUCUUGGAAAUGGCAUUCAAGAGAUACCAAUUUCUCAUGAUAGCUUGCGUCUUCUGCAGCUAGUGAAGUGUCGUGUGCUUCGAGUUUCUAUCAGAUGUCCGCAACUUGAAACAUUGUCACUGAAGCGCAGUAGCAUGCCACAUGCAGUGCUUAAUUGCCCUCUUUUACAUGACCUUGAUAUAGCUUCCUGUCACAAACUUUCCGACGCUGCUAUUCGUUCGGCUGCCACCGCAUGCCCUCUUUUAGAAUCUUUGGAUAUGUCAAAUUGUUCAUGUGUCAGUGAUGAAACACUGCGUGAUAUAGCUCAAACUUGUGGACAUCUUCGAGUUUUGGAUGCUUCAUACUGCCCAAACAUUUCUCUUGAGUCUGUGAGGCUGGUUAUGCUGACUGUUCUCAAGCUUCAUAGUUGUGAGGGCAUAACAUCAGCUUCCAUGGCUGCCAUAGCCCAUAGCUAUAUGUUAGAGGUUCUGGAGCUUGAUAAUUGCAGUUUAUUGACAUCAGUGUCCUUGGAUCUUCCUCGC
rnacentral:misc_RNA from 1 species